UCAAACUUGGUCAUUUAGAGGAAGUAAAAGUCGUAACAAGGUUUCCGUAGGUGAACCUGCGGAAGGAUCAUUAUUGAAACAUUGUAAAGGAGAGUUGAGCUGGUCCUUCAAGGGCAAGUGCUCGCUUUUCUUUCAAUCUUCAUCCACCUGUGCACCUUUUGUAGAGAGUUCUGAGAAAUCUGAGGAGGCCCUUUAAGUAGGGUUUUCUCUAAGUAUCAGGUUCUCUAUGUUUUUAUACACCCUUGAAUGUAUGUUUUUGAAUGUGUAUAUGAAGGGGCCUUAAUUGGACCUUUUAAAAACUAUACAACUUUCAGCAACGGAUCUCUUGGCUCUCGCAUCGAUGAAGAACGCAGC
rnacentral:misc_RNA from 1 species